GAUGAACGCUAGCGGCAGGCUUAAUACAUGCAAGUCGAGGGGCAGCAUGGUGGUAGCAAUACCACUGAUGGCGACCGGCAAACGGGUGCGGAACACGUACGCAACUUACCCUUAACUGGGGGAUAGCCCGGGGAAACCCGGAUUAAUACCUCGUAACAUAUUGUGGUGGCAUCACCAUAUUAUUAUAGCUUUAUUGUGGUUAAGGAUGGGCGUGCGGCUGAUUAGGUAGUUGGCAGGGAACGGCCUACCAAGCCUGCGAUCAGUAACUGGUGUGAGAGCACGACCAGUCACACGGGGCACUGAGACACGGGCCCGACUCCUACGGGAGGCAGCAGUAAGGAAUNUUGGUCAAUGGACGCAAGUCUGAACCAGCCAUGCCGCGUGGAGGAUGAAGGCCCUCUGGGUUGUAAACUUCUUUUAUCU
rnacentral:rRNA from 1 species